CCUACGGGUGGCAGCAGUGGGGAAUAUUGGACAAUGGGGGGAACCCUGAUCCAGCCAUGCCGCGUGUGUGAAGAAGGCCCUCGGGUUGUAAAGCACUUUCAGUGAGGAAGAACGCCUGGUGGUUAAUACCCAUCAGGAAAGACAUCACUCACAGAAGAAGCACCGGCUAACUCCGUGCCAGCAGCCGCGGUAAUACGGAGGGUGCGAGCGUUAAUCGGAAUUACUGGGCGUAAAGCGCGCGUAGGUGGCUUGAUAAGCCGGUUGUGAAAGCCCCGGGCUCAACCUGGGAACGGCAUCCGGAACUGUCAAGCUAGAGUGCAGGAGAGGAAGGUAGAAUUCCCGGUGUAGCGGUGAAAUGCGUAGAGAUCGGGAGGAAUACCAGUGGCGAAGGCGGCCUUCUGGACUGACACUGACACUGAGGUGAGAAAGCGUGGGUAGCAAACAGGAUUAGAUACCCCGGUAGUC
rnacentral:rRNA from 1 species